rnacentral:rRNA from 1 species
CCUACGGGAGGCAGCAGUGGGGAAUUUUGGACAAUGGGCGCAAGCCUGAUCCAGCCAUGCCGCGUGCAGGAUGAAGGCCUUCGGGUUGUAAACUGCUUUUGUACGGAACGAAAAGACUCUGGUUAAUACCUGGGGUCCAUGACGGUACCGUAAGAAUAAGCACCGGCUAACUACGUGCCAGCAGCCGCGGUAAUACGUAGGGUGCGAGCGUUAAUCGGAAUUACUGGGCGUAAAGCGUGCGCAGGCGGUUAUGUAAGACAGAUGUGAAAUCCCCGGGCUCAACCUGGGAACUGCAUUUGUGACUGCAUAGCUAGAGUACGGCAGAGGGGGAUGGAAUUCCGCGUGUAGCAGUGAAAUGCGUAGAUAUGCGGAGGAACACCGAUGGCGAAGGCAAUCCCCUGGGCCUGUACUGACGCUCAUGCACGAAAGCGUGGGGAGCAAACAGGAUUAGAUACCCUGGUAGUCCACGCCCUAAACGAUGUCAACUGGUUGUUGGGUCUUCACUNACUCAGUAACGAAGACACGACGUGAGUAGACCGCCGUCGGGAGGUACGGCCGCGAGGUUAGGUAACGUACGAAAGAAAGUUAGUACGGCGUGAGACGUAGCCGACGGACGACGACGAGGGGAGGAGGG